UUGAUAGCUUGCUGCGAGACCUCACACCGUGCACAUCUACUGCGGGUGUGGUGCCUGUUAGCGGACCUGGAGUUAGCAACAUCCCCCCAAAAGAGUAGAGUCCUGGCCCCUAGCCCUGUCAGCGUAGCAGAAAUGAUGACGGAUGAUGAUGGCAGCAGCAGCAGCUGUUCUCCUCUGCUGAUUCGGGCAGUACUUCUGGACUUCACCUUUAUCUUCAUCUCAGGAGAAAGUUUUGAACAGCAUCCCCCCGGGUCACAGUGAUGAUGGCAGGGUGCCAAAGGGAAGACAGCGCCUGUGGUGGAGGAGAGCAGGGAGGAAGGAAAGAAGACUCAGAGCUGGCAUAAUCACCAGGGGCAUUGAGCUAAUGAACACACCGCAGGAGCAAUAACAAUAACAACAGGAGGGAUCAGCUUCUCAACUCCUAACAGGAGGGAAGAGGACCUACUGCACAACUGUCAUUAUGGUCUUUUUCAACAACAGCAGAAACAACAGGAGAGCUGAGCUCCAAUACCAGGCAGGAGGGAAGAGAAUAUAUUCUGUAUAACUGUCGUUAAUUCAUAUUUAGAUGUUAAUUGUUUAAGUCAACCAACAGGUAUCAUAAUUGCUCUACCAAUUAAAACGCC
ensembl:lncRNA